rnacentral:lncRNA from 1 species
CAACCAGAGUGAUGGCUAUGCUAAUGAUUUUCUUUUGUAUUUAAAUGUACACCCUUUCUUUGGUUAAGUUUCUUAAGUGGGCCUUAAAUGUUGGUUCUUAUAUAUUCCCAAAUGGCUAGCUGGUUAUGAUGAAGGGUAGCUAAUUAGCAAUAUGUUUAGGAGAAAAUAAUUGCUGGGUCUUGCGUGUCUAAUAUUAGAGCCUUAACCUGUCUCUUUUGGGUGUUCUGGUUAAAAGGUAUGUGCAUUAAUGAUAAUGGCAAGUUAGUGUGGCUGGUUAUUGAUAGGGAAGACUGU